rnacentral:sRNA from 1 species
ACUGGGUAUGGUGGUGUAUGCCUGUAGUCCUAGCUACUUGGGAGACUGAGACAGGAGAAUCACCUGUGUCCGAAUGUUUGAGACUAGUUCUGGGCAACAUAGCAAACACCUGUCUCAA